rnacentral:misc_RNA from 1 species
AUUUUGCAUGCUAUUUUAAGGAUGAUUCUAAAUAUUCUAGCUCCAAAAAGAGCCUGGUAAUGUACCCUGAAUUUUUGGGAAUUAAUUAACAGGUUUAAAUGUUAAUAAAUAAGGAAUAAUAAAUCAAGGAAAAUAUAAUAAAAUUGAGGAAUGUCUCGCAUGUCCUUAACUUUUUAAAAUCUGAUUUCGAUUAUAAAUAUAUAUAUUACCGUAUACAAAAGGAUAUAUGAAUUUUUUUUUUGUACUUAUAUAAGUUCAAUACUCGAAGAAUAUAUAUAUAUAUAUACAAACUAGUGUAAGCAUACCAAAAUACUCAAAUAGUGUCAUGAUUUAGAAAACUUUCAUGAUAGUUAUUAUGUAGAGUGAGUAUGCCCUCCAUAUUUUUGUGAAGGUUUAAGUGUGAUAAUAAAAGAAUACUAUGGUUUCAUAGAUAUUCUUUGUACAUGAUUUUUAGUGGAUUUCAUUCUUGCUUUGAUCCACAAAAUUUUAUGCUCAUUGAAGUGUAAUUUCCCAUAAACAUAUUGUUUUGUAUCCUUGAAACUGUGAUUUUCACUAUUAUAAAAUCCAUGAAAAUUAAUGCCUAAGAAUAUAAAUUAAACCACAGCAACAGCUUCUAGCAAAUGACCCCCUAUACAUUUGAUGUACUGUAAGGUACCAGGCAUUCAGUGCUCAUAUUUAUAUCUCUGUAUUUACCUGGGUGUGAGAACCUGAUCAGAUAACUUAACAGUAUGAACAUGUAUUUGUUAAUGCAGCUGCAAAUGCAUUCUGCAAGUUUUACCAGUGGUAUUGGUUACUUAGGAAAUAUGUAUACCGUUGGUCAUCUUCUGUGUACAUGCUCAUGCUUUAAUAAAAACAUCAGAAAACUU